rnacentral:rRNA from 1 species
CCUACGGGUGGCAGCAGUGAGGAAUAUUGGUCAAUGGACGAGAGUCUGAACCAGCCAAGUAGCGUGAAGGAUGACUGCUCUAUGGGUUGUAAACCUCUUUUAUAUGGGAAUAAAAUGUUCCACGUGUGGGAUUUUGUAUGUACCAUAUGAAUAAGGAUCGGCUAACUCCGUGCCAGCAGCCGCGGUAAUACGGAGGAUCCGAGCGUUAUCCGGAUUUAUUGGGUUUAAAGGGCGCGGAGGUGGAUUGUUAAGUCAGUUGUGAAAGUUUGCGGCUCAACCGUAAAUUGGCAGUUGAAACUGGCAGUCUUGAGUACAGUAGAGGUGGGCGGAAUUCGUGGUGUAGCGGUGAAAUGCUUAGAUAUCACGAAGAACUCCGAUUGCGAAGGCAGUUCACUGGACUGCAACUGACACUGAGGCUCGAAAGUGUGGGUAUCAAACAGGAUUAGAUACCCUUGUAGUC